rnacentral:rRNA from 1 species
CCCCUAGAUGUUCUGGGCCGCACGCGCGCUACACUGAACAGUUCAACAAGUCUUAACCUUGGCCGAUAGGUCUGGGUAAUCUUUGAACGCUGUUCGUGAUUGGGAUAGACCUUUGCAAUUAUGGGUCUUCAACGAGGAAUUCCUAGUAAGCGCAAGUCAUAAGCUUGCGUUGAUUACGUCCCUGCCCUUUGUACACACCGCCCGUCGCUACUACCGAUUGAACGUUUUAGUGAGGUAUUUGGACUGGACCUUCGGAGGUUCGCGCCUCCGUUGCUGUUCGGGAAGACUCCCAAACUUGAGCGUUUAGAGGAAGUAAAANUCGUANCA